rnacentral:lncRNA from 1 species
UACAUUCCUGAAUGGUAGUCUAGUAUACGGCUACUCCCUUGCUCAGGUGCUACCUUCGGACAGGUACAUUCCUGAAUGGUGGUCUAGUAUACGACUACUCCCUUUUCAGCAGAUUCAGCCUAACGUACGGCCCAUUCUGCAACUCAAAUACGAUCUAGCAUACGAUCCAUUCUGAUCUUUCAUCCCCAGCAAAGUCAUCCGCC